GGAAAACAUCUUCGCCAUUCGGAAUGAAUGAAAGUCUUGCCUCAUCAACAACGGUGGUGCGGUGUGUUUGAACUGAAGAAUGGGCCGGCGCGCGAUACAAAGGCGGAAGAAUAGAUCUCGUUGCUUGCCAAGAUACAACGUACAAUAUUAAUCCGUUCGUGGCGACCAGGAAUUUAUUGCGAUCUAUCGAAUGUCGUGCGAUAUUCCAAACCGAUACAAAGUCGUAUUCUGGAGGAUGUAUAAGCAUGAAUCACGAAUGAUUAAGGUGGUGCAAAUAAAUGUUAAAGUUUAUUUAAAGUGAUCAACGUCGUUGCAUGUUCAAGUUUUGUUCUUUAUACAUCUUUAUAGUGUACAGAUUAUUUUGUUUGGUAGAGGAUUGGAUUUGUAAAUUUUAUUGGAUUUUAAUCUCCUAUUAGAUGGGAGAAUGAUUUUCUUUUUAGCAAUUAAUGAUCUUAAAUAUUAAUUUUAAUUAAAUUAACGAAAUAUAAAGAUGUGUAAGAAACAAAACUUAAACAAUUGUGAUUUAAUUAAACUUCAUCAAUAAGCACUUUUUACUUUUUACUUGACCCAAUAAACUUGUUAACUAGUUGUCGAAUCUCAUUUUCGAUUAUAGCGUUUGCCUUUCCGUUUAAUAGUUCUAUAGAUAGUGUCACGUCAUUGUUCGGGAACAUUGCUGUUGAAUCGAGAUUUACGACGCGAGGUAAUUUAAAGUUUGAAAUAUAAUUUAUGUUUUUACGUACGUUUUUUUUUUUUUAAAUUUUGAAAAACGAUAUGGAGAGAAAUUUUAUUUGGAAAGAGAGAUAAGGUAUUUAAAUCCUUAAUAUAAAUUUUCAUCGAAACUUAAAUCUUGUAUAAUAUAUUAAAAUAAAAGUAACUUUGAUACUUUUGAACUUUUAACAUAAGAUUUAUUGUAAUUUUUGAAUUCAUGAAUAUCAUUGAAAUUAAGUGGAUAAUUAGUAUGAGUAGUAAUGUAAAGAAUUGUACGAAGGAAUUAAAUUAUUCGUCGAUUGUUCAAUUGAUAGAAUGAAGUAAAUAAAAAAAAAUAGUAUGACGUAGAAAAUGAAGAAUUUCAAGUUUAAGUUAUUCAUAGACAAUAACAUAUAGUAAUUUAAAGUUUAUUUUCUUUAGAAUCAAAUGUAAACUAAAUUUCCAUUAUAUGUUUACUACGAGUUAUUCUAUCAAAUAUUCGAAACGUUACGUUUAAGCUUGUUAUUAAGUUCAACAGUAUCAAAGUUUUUGCCAUAAAUUUAGUCGUGGCUAUUGAAACACCUGUAACAUAGAGAGUAAUGAAAUAGUUUUGUCAAUUUAAUGACCGACAUCCCUGUAAUUAUGACGAUGUACAUUGUAACGAAUAGCUUCAAUCCUCGCAUCAAACUUCUAAUUACAAACAUUGAAUAUAUUUUGAUGCUACAGCGAAACGUGAUUCACCAUAAACUUAUGCUCGUGUAUUUAACAGAAAAAUCAAUAAAGAAACAAUAACAUCUUUG